rnacentral:rRNA from 1 species
UGAGGAAUAUUGGUCAAUGGGCGCAAGCCUGAACCAGCCAUCCCGCGUGCAGGAAGACGGCCCUAUGGGUUGUAAACUGCUUUUCCAGGGGGAGAAUUUUUCUGUCGUGACAGGAAUUGACGGUACCCUGGGAAUAAGCAUCGGCUAACUCCGUGCCAGCAGCCGCGGUAAUACGGAGGAUGCGAGCGUUAUCCGGAUUUAUUGGGUUUAAAGGGUGCGUAGGCGGAUUGAUAAGUCAGUGGUGAAAACCUGCAGCUUAACUGUAGACUUGCCGUUGAUACUGUCAUGCUUGAGUGUGGUCAAGGUGGGCGGAAUGUGUAAUGUAGCGGUGAAAUGCUUAGAUAUUACACAGAACACCGAUUGCGAAGGCAGCUUACUGGGCCAUUACUGACGCUGAUGCACGAAAGCGUGGGGAUCGAACAG